UGGGGAAUAUUGGACAAUGGGCGCAAGCCUGAUCCAGCAAUGCCGCGUGGAUGAUGAAGGCCUUAGGGUUGUAAAGUCCUUUCGGCGGGGACGAUGAUGACGGUACCCGCAGAAGAAGCCCCGGCUAACUUCGUGCCAGCAGCCGCGGUAAUACGAAGGGGGCUAGCGUUGUUCGGAAUUACUGGGCGUAAAGGGCGCGUAGGCGGCCCUCCAAGUCAGAUGUGAAAGCCCCGGGCUUAACCUGGGAAUAGCAUUUGAGACUGAAGGGCUUGAGUUUCGGAGAGGUGGGUGGAAUUCCCAGUGUAGAGGUGAAAUUCGUAGAUAUUGGGAAGAACACCGGUGGCGAAGGCGGCCCACUGGACGAACACUGACGCUGAGGCGCGAAAGCGUGGGGAGCAAACAG
rnacentral:rRNA from 1 species